UGGGGACAGACCAUCUCAGGGUGGGGACAGACCAUCUCAGGGUGAGUACAGACAGACCAUCUCAAGGUGGGGACAGACCAUCUCAGGGUGAGUACAGAAGACCACUCAGGGUGGGAUAGACCAUCUCAGGGUGAGUACAGACAGCCCAUCUCAGGAUGGGGACAGACCAUCUCAGGGAGAGUUAAGACAGACCAUCUCCAGGGUGGGGACAGACCAUCUCAGGGUGAGGACAGACAGCCCAUCUCAGGGUGGGGGACAGACCAUUCUCAGGGUGGGGACAGACCAUCUCAGGGUGGGGCACAGACCAUCUCAGGGUGAGGAACAGACAGCCCAUCUCAGGGUGGGGACAGACCAUCUCAGGGUGAAGUAACAGGACCCCAGAACAUCUCAGGGUGGGGACAGACAUCUCAGGGUGGGACAGACCUCUCAGGGUGGGACAGACCAUCUCAGGGUGGGGACAGACCAUCUCAGGGUGAGUACGACAGACCAUCUCAGGGUGGGGACAGACAGGACCAUCUCAGGGUGGGGACGAGACAGCCCAUCUCAGAUGAGUACAGAAGCCCAUCUCAGAUGAGUACAGACAGCCCAUCUCAGGGUGAGUACAGACAGCCCAUCUCAGGUGGGACACCAUUCAGGGUGGGGACAGCAGCCCAUCUCAGGGUGGGGACAGACAGACCAUUCAGGGUGGGGACCAGACCAUCUCACGGGUGGGGACAGACAGCCCAUCUCAGGAUGAAUACAGACAGACCAUCUCAGGGUGAGGACAGAUAGCCCAUCUCAGGAUGAGUACAGACAGCCCAUCUCAGGGUGAGUACAGACAGCCCAUCUCAGGGUGGGGACAGACAGCCCAUCUCAGGGUGGGGACAGACCAUCUCAGGGUGAGUACAGACAGACUAUCUCUAGGGUGGGGAAGGACCAUCUCAGGGUGGGGACAGACCAUCUCAGGGUGGGGACAGACCAUCUCAGGGUGGGGACAGACCAUCUCAGGGGGAACGACAGACCAUCUCAGGGUGGGGACAGACCAUCUCAGGGUGAGUAAGACAGACCAUCUCAGGGUGGGGGACAGACAGACCAUCUCGGGUGGGGACAGACAGACCAUCUCAGGGUGGGGACAGACACCCAUCUCAGGAUGAGUACAGACAGCCCAUCUCAGGAUGAGUACAGACAGCCCAUCUCCAGGGUGAGUACAGACGCCCAUCUCAGGGUGGGGACAGACAGCCCAUCUCAGGGUGAGUACAGACAGCCCAUUCAGGGUGAGUUACAGACAGCCCAUCUCAGGGUGUGGGACAGACAGCCCAAUCUCAGGGUG
rnacentral:lncRNA from 1 species